UUACGGCCAUACCACCCUGAACACACCCGAUCUCGUCUGAUCUCGGAAGCUAAGCAGGGUGGGGCCUGGUUAGUACUUGGAUGGGAGACCGCCUGGGAAUACCAGGUGCUGUAAG
rnacentral:rRNA from 1 species